rnacentral:lncRNA from 1 species
CGUUCCAAGUCCGACCGUCCCGUUGCAGGCCAUUGUGCCUUUCUUCGGCGUUUUGGGACGGAACUAAGAAACCGAGUCUGGGCGUCACCGUUCGGCUUUUGUGGGCAAGAAACUUCGAGAUCACUCAGAAUCGGACCACCCAGUAGCUAGAUGUGGACUUUCGAGGCCUCGGACCCCGUUCCAAGUCCGAUCGUCCCUUUCUAGGCCAUUGUGCCUUUCUUCGGCGUUUUGGGACGGAACCAAGAAACCGAGUCUGGGGCGUCACCGUUCGGCUUUUGUGGGCAAGAAACUUCGAGAUCACUCAGAAUCGGACCACCCAGUAGCCGGAUGUGGACUUUCGAGGCCUCGGACCCCGUUCCAAGUCCGACCGUUCCUUUCCAGGCCAUUGUGCCUUUCUUCGGCGUUUUGGGACGGAACAAAGAAACCGAGUUCUGGGCGUCACCGUUCGGCUUUUGUGGGCAAGAAACUUCGAGAUCACUCAGAAUCGGACCACCCAGUAGCAGCCGGAUGUGGACUUUCGAGGCCUCGGACCCCCGUUCCAAGUUCGACCGUCUCGUUGCAGGCCAUUGUGCCUUUCUUCGGCGUUUUGGGACGGAACCAAGAAACCGAUUCUGGGGCGUCACCGUUCGGCUUUUGUGGGCAAGAAACUUCGAGAUCACUCAGAAUCGGACCACCCAGUAGCCGGAUGUGGACUUUCGAGGCCUCGGACCCCAUUCCAAGUCCGACCGUCCCUUUCCAGGCCAUUGUGCCUUUCUUCGGCGUUUUGGGACGGAACCAAGAAACCGAGUCUAAGGCGUCACCGUUCGGCUUUUGUGGGCAAGAAACUUCGAGAUCACUCAGAAUCGGACCACCCAGUAGCCGGAUGUGGACUUUCGAGGCCUCGGACCCCGUUCCAAGUCCGACCGUCCCUUUCAGGCCAUUGUGCCUUUCUUCGGCGUUUUGGGACGGAACCAAGAAACCGAGUCUGCGGCGUCACCGUUCGGCUUUUGUGGGCAAGAAACUUCGAGAUCACUCAGAAUCGGACCACCCAGUAGCUAGAUGUGGACUUUCGAGGCCUCGGACCCCGUUCCAAGUCCGACCGUCCCUUUCGAGGCCAUUGUGCCUUUCUUCGGCGUUUUGGGACGGAACCAAGAAACCGAGUCUGGCGCGCGUCACCGUUCGGCUUUUUGGGCAAGAAACUUCGAGAUCACUCAGAACUCGGACCACCCAGUAGCUAGAUGUGGACUUUCGAGGCCUCGGACCCCGUUCCAAGUCCGACCGUCCCUUUCCAGGCCAUUGUGCCUUUCUUCGGCGUUUUGGGACGGAACCAAGAAACCGAGUCUGGGGCGUCACCGCUCGGCUUUUGUGGGCAAGAAACUUCGAGAUCACUCAGAAUCGGACCACCCAGUAGCUAGAUGUGGACUUUCGAGGCCUCGGACCCCGUUCCAAGUCCGACCGUCCCUUUCUAGGCCAUUGUGCCUUUCUUCGGCGUUUUGGAACGGAACCAAGAAACCGAGUCUGGGGCGUCACCGUUCGGCUUUUGUGGGCAAGAAACUUUGAGAUCACUCAGAAUCGGACCACCCAGUAGCUAGAUGUGGACUUUCGAGGCCUCGGGACCCCCGUUCCAAAGUCCGACCGUCCCUUUCCAGGCCAUUGUGCCUUUUUCGGCGUUUUGGGACGGAACCAAGAAACCGAGUCUGGGCGUCACCGUUCGGCUUUUGUGGGCAAGAAACUUCGAGAUCACUCAGAAUCGGACCACCCAGUAGCUAGAUGUCGACUUUCGAGGCCUCGGACCCCGUUCCAAGUCCGACCGUCCCUUUCUAGGCCAUUGUGCCUUUCUUCGGCGUUUUGGGACGGAACCAAGAAACCGAGUCUGGGGCGUCACCGUUCGGCUUUUGUGGGCAAGAAACUUCGAGAUCACUCAGAAUAGGACCACCCAGUAGCUAGAUGUGGACUUUCGAGGCCUCGGACCCCGUUCCAAGUCCGACCGUCCCUUUCCAGGCCAUUGUGCCUUUCUUCGGCGUUUUGGGACGGAACCAAGAAACCGAGUCUGCGGCGUCACCGUUCGGCGUUUUGUGGGCAAGAAACUUCGAGAUCACUCAGAAUCGGACCACCCAGUAGCUAGAUGUGGACUUUCGAGGCCUCGGACCCCGUUCCAAGUCCGACCGUCCCUUUCCAGGCCAUUGUGCCUUUCUUCGGCGUUUUAGGACGGAACCAAGAAACCGAGUCUGCGGCGUCACCGUUCGGCUUUUUGUGCGGCAAGAAACUUCGAGAUCACUCAGAAUCGGACACCCCAGUAGCUAGAUGUGGACUUUCGAGGCCUCGGACCCCGUUCCAAGUCCGACCGUCCCUUUCUAGGCCAUUGUGCCUUUCUUCGGCGUUUUGGGACGGAACCAAGAAACCGAGUCUGCGGCGUCACCGUUCGGCUUUUGUGGGCAAGAAACUUCGAGAUCACUAAGAAUGGAUCGGACCACCCAGUAGCUAGAUGUGGACUUUCGAGGCCUCGGACCCCGUUCCAAGUCCGACCGUCCCUUUCUAGGCCAUUGUGCCUUUCUUUCGGCGUUUUGGGACGGAACCAAAGAAACCGAGUCUGGCGGCGUCACCGUUCGGCUUUUGUGGGCAAGAAACUUCGAGAUCACUCAGAAAUCGGACCACCCAGUAGCUAGAUGUGGACUUUCGAGGCCUCGGACCCCGUUCCAAGUCCGACCGUCCCUCUUCAGGCCAUUGUGCCUUUCUUCGGCGUUUUGGGACGGAACCAAGAAACCGAGUCUGGGGCGUCACCGUUCGGCUUUUGUGGGCAAGAAACUUCGAGAUCACUCAGAAUCGGACCACCCAGUAGCUAGAUGUGGACUUUCGAGGCCUCGAACCCCGUUCCAAGUUCCGACCGUCCCUUUCCAGGCCAUUGUGCCUUUCUUCGGCGUUUUGGGACGGAACAAGAAACCGAGUCUGGGCGUCACCGUUCGGCUUUUGUGGGCAAGAAACUUCGAGAUCACUCAGAAUCGGACCACCCAGUAGCUAUUAGUGGACUUUCGAGGCCUCGGACCCCGUUCCAAGUCCGACCGUCCCUUUCUAGGCCAUUGUGCCUUUCUUCGGCGUUUUGGGACGGAACCAAGAAACCGAGUCGGGGCGUCACCGUUCGGCUUUUGUGGGCAAGAAACUUCGAGAUCACUCAGAAUCGGACCACCCAGUAGCUAGAUGUGGACUUUCGAGGCCUCGGACCCCCGUUCCAAGUCCGACCGUCCCUUUCUAGGCCAUUGUGCCUUUCUUCGGCGCUUUGGGACGAACCAAGAAACCGAGUCUGGGGCGUCACCGUUCGGCUUUUGUGGGCAAGAAACUUCGAGAUCACUCAGAAUCGGACCACCCAGUAGCUAGAUGUGGACUUUCGAGGCCUCGGACCCGUUCCAAGUCCGACCGUCCCUUUCCAGGCCAUUGUGCCUUUCUUCGGCGUUUUGGGACGGAACCAAGAAACCGAGUCUGCGGCGUCACCGUUCGGCUUUUGUGGGCAAGAAACUUCGAGAUCACUAAGAAUCGGACUCGGACCACCCAGUAGCUAGAUGUGGACUUUCGAGGCCUCGGACCCCGUUCCAAGUCCGACCGUCCCUUUCUAGGCCAUUGUGCCUUUUCUUUGCGUUUUGGGACGGAACCAAGAAACCGAGUCUGGGCCGUCACCGUUCGGCUUUUGUGGGCAAGAAACUUCGAGAUCACUCAGAAUCGGACCACCCAGUAGCUAGAUGUGGACUUUCGAGGCCUCGGACCCCGUUCCAAGUCCGACCGUCCCUUUCUAGGCCAUUGUGCCUUUCUUCGGCGUUUUGGGACGGAACCAAGAAACCGAGUCUGGGGCGUCACCGUUCGGCUUUUGUGGGCAAGAAACUUCGAGAUCACUCAGAAUCGGACCACCCAGUAGCUAGAUGUGGACUUUCGAGGCCUCGGACCCCGUUCCAAGUUCGACCGUCCCUUUCCAGGCCAUUGUGCCUUUCUUCGGCGUUUUGGGACGGAACCAAGAAACCGAGUCUGGGCGUCACCGUUCGGCUUUUGUGGGCAAGAAACUUCGAGAUCACUCAGAAUCGGACCACCCAGUAGCUAGAUGUGGACUUUCGAGGCCUCGGACCCGUUCCAAGUCCGACCGUCCCUUUCUAGGCCAUUGUGCCUUUCUUCGGGUUUGGGACGGAACCAAGAAACCGAGUCUGGGCGUCACCGUUCGGCUUUUGUGGGCAAGAAACUUCGAGAUCACUCAGAAUCGGACCACCCAGUAGCUAGAUGUGGACUUUCGAGGCCUCGGACCCCGUUCCAAGUCCGACCGUCCCUUUCCAGGCCAUUGUGCCUUUCUUCGGCGUUUUGGGACGGAACCAAGAAACCGAGUCUGGGGCGUCACCGUUCGGCUUUUGUGGGCAAGAAACUUCGAGAUCACUCAGAAUCGGACCACCCAGUAGCUAGAUGUGGACUUUCGAGGCU